ACAAUUUGUUCAUGGACAAUUUUGUAGAUUUUCCUGCAGAGAAACUGAAUUAAAGGAAACAGUCUGAAAAAUAGAGCGACCGCUGUGUCGUCGGUAAAACAACUGAGUCAUCAUGAGGUCAAGUUGUUUGUCGGCUUUGUGAGACAGUCGGCAGCAAAAUCAGG